UCUUUUCCACUCUCGACAUCUCAGCUGUAGAGAUAGGUUUCUCUCUCUUAUUGAGUUUCAGAUCUGUAUGAGGAGUUUCCAUUUGUUGCGGCGGCCUCUAAUUCGCUUGGUGCAGGUCGGGAACGGACUCGCCGGUGAUCUGUCGUAACCACCAUCGCCGGCGUUUGUUUCAUACCAUUUUUUGUAGUAUCGGUAUGUACAGAGUUGUUGCGGAGAGAUGACUAGCUGAAUUAACUUCAUGUAUGUAUAUAUGUAUAGAUGUGCAGAGAGUGUUUUUUUCCCGGUUGGUGAAGUAGUAGAUAUGUAGAGAGAUUUUAGGUAAAUGAUUUAUUUAUGCAUCUUGUCUAUAGCAAAGUUUGUUCCCGCCUUGCAUCAACUGAAUCGGAGACCGCGGUGAAUUUAAAUAUCUACGGAUCGAUCUAAUCUCCGGGAUAUGAGGAUGAAUGCAGUAGAAAAUUUUGCUUAAGCUCUUUUAGUUAUCAACUACCAGUGGCAUCUGGCGUAGCAUGAAGUAGCUUCUGGCCUCCUUAAGAUACAAAAUGUAGAUCCCAAAGGUAAAUUAUGAGUUGUGGUCAAAUAUGCAGUCUGUACAGUAAUUGGAACUGCUUUCAAAUUGAUGUGCAUUUUUUAUUUUAACAUUGCACCCACAAUCUUUUGGAUGCUUUUACGGCAUUGACUGCUGCCAUCUAUGCCUUGUCAUAACUUUGGCUAUAUCCAAAUUGUCAAUUUCUCGAAGUCCCAAUUUAUGUUUUAAAUGUAACUUCGUUUUAAGUUUAGUUUAAAUUAAUCAUUUGCUGUUGAGGUUCUUAAUAGGAAUCCAAUUUCGGUUGAGGGCCAAGAGAUGCACUUAAAGGUCUUCCAACUUCUUGUUCAUUUCUUUUGUGCUCAUCGAAGUGUUUUUGUUACUAAUGAUAAGUUUUAUAUGAGAGGUUAGCCUGUCAGAUUUGUUUGAUUUAGUUAAUGACUGAAUUGAGGAAUUCAUGUUGGAAUUAAAGCCAUUUGUUCAAUUGAGUUGGGAAGGAAAAUUUGUAGGUGUCAUGAACGUUUACAUGUUCUGUUGCAGUAGGUUUGUUGGAGUCACAUAACCAAUGCAAGUCUUGAAGCUGGAUUCAGCAUAUUUUUUUAUAUGGCAAUUCGUAAGAAUCAAUUUCUCUUUAGUUCUCUGUUGCACAUCUUAGUUGACCAAAGUAUCCUUUUUUAUCACUAAUACCUAAAAGAAUUAGGGGUGUCAAAAUGAGCAAAAAUAUAGGUAAUGCGUCUAAUCUGUCCAACAUUUUAUGGGUUGGAUUUAAGAUAAUUUGAAAUUGGGAAAUUUAAUCCAUUUAAAAAAAAAGGGAAAUUUACGUGAGUUGGCAAACUUCUAAUAGUAAUUAUUUAAUACGGGUAUAGUUUCACAUAAUUAUAAUUAAUGGCUGCAGUUUAGUGAAAUUUGUCAUAAUCUUGGGACCCACUAAUUAGAUUUGUAGAAGAAUCAAAAGAUACAAAUCUUCCUUCAAGUUGCUGUUUAUACAAAUUCUUUCUUUUAUCUCUCUUUCUCUUGUUCACUGAUUUUGCUCCUAAAAUCUCUCAACCAUAUUAAUUUUGAAUUUUGAAUGAUUUCUUUCUUCCUCCUAAUCGUGGUUUCUCCCCCCUAAUCGUGCCAUAUCUUUUUUCAGGUAACCGCCCAAUUUUUCAGCAUUCCUUUUCUUUUUAAUUUUUAGGAUUGUAUAUGUUUACAUUUUUCUUUGUAGAUUCAUAAAAUUUCAUCCUCAAUCUUCGAUU